rnacentral:lncRNA from 1 species
UAUUUUGGAGUUUUCGACUAAAGCCUUUAUUUAUCGCAUUUCUAUGUCAUCUGAUAGCGCUCCACAUUACUGACUGUAUUGGUUUCGAUUUUGGUUUUUAAUGUAAUGGUUUUCACUGCUGUUGAUUUUCAAUUUAAACAAAACAGUUUUCCAGUGUUUGAUUAACAAAAUUAAAGUCUCUCUUUCUCUCUCUCACUCUCUCCAUAACAAGUUAACAACUAGUGGAAAAGAGUUGACAUCAGGGAGUUGGUGUCUAUUAUUAGUGCUGUGUAGUACACUGCAGCACCAUAAUACUAGUGUGUUGUUUUGAUAUUUAAAUCCAUGUCUCCAUGAUUCCCCACAAUAUGUUUAGACUUUUCAAUCAUCAAUAGUUCAAUACUGAGUUUCAUUAUAAUGAUGUUGUUCAGAAUUUUAAACGAUUUUCCUCAUAUAUUUUGAAUGAUAAGCAAACUCGGAUACUCAUUCAUCCAAACUAGAAGUCACAAACAUGUACUUGAUUAUCAAGGCUACUCAUAAAAAUCUGAUUGGUUUUGCAUUUAUACUCACAAAUUGCUUCAAGUUAAUCCAGUAGAUUAUGAGUGAACCUGAAACAUACAGGUCGAAAUCAAAGUCGAAUCAACUUUAAAUAAAGUUGUAAGAUAUAGCCCGUUAUUACUUGAAACUGUUGGAUUACUAUGCUUUCAGGUUUUAACAACUAUUGAAACGUACAAAGAAUUUAUGAAAAAAGAACUAACCAUUGCAAUCUCUGUUUCUAAUAACAUCCUGCAGGUACAGCAAUACAGCAAUGUAUGGGAUCUCCUUCCUAGUAU